rnacentral:rRNA from 1 species
GACGAACGCUGGCGGCGUGCUUAACACAUGCAAGUCGAACGGCAAGGCUCCAGAUCGCUGGGGUACACGAGUGGCGAACGGGUGAGUAACAAGUAGGUGACCUGCCCUGCACUUCGGGAUAAGCACGGGAAACUGGGUCUAAUAAUGGAUAGGGCGGCACCGGGGGGGAGGGGUGGAACGUUCUUUCGGGGUGGGAUGGGUCGGGGGCCUAUCAGCUUGUUGGUGGGGUAAUGGACUACCAAGCCGGCGACGGGUAGCCGGCCUGGGCGGGUGGACGGCCACAUUGGGACUGAGACACGGCCCAGACGCCUACGGGAGGCAGCAGUGGGGAAUAUUGCCCAAUGGGCGGAAGCCUGAUGCAGCGACGCCGCGUGGGGGAUGACGGCCUUCGGGUUGUAAACUCCUUUCGCCUUCGACGAAGGGUUUCUGACGGUAGAUGGAGAAGAAGCACCGGCUAACUACGUG